rnacentral:rRNA from 1 species
GAUGAACGCUGGCGGCGUGCCUAAUACAUGCAAGUCGAGCGAACAGACGAGGCUCUUGCUCCUCUGACGUUAGCGGCGCACGGGUGAGUAACACGUGUAUACCCUCCCUAUAAUACUGGGAUCACUUCGGGACACCGGCUCUAAUACCGGAGAAUAUACUGCACCGCAUGGUUCGAUAGUGAAAUACGGCUUUUCUGGCACGUCUAGCUGGAUCCUGGCGGCAUUAGCUAGUUGGUAGGGUAACGGGUUACCACGGCAACGAUGCGUAGCCGACCUCAGAGGGUGGUAGGCGACACUGGAGCGGGGACACGGACAAGGGGACUGCGGGAGGCAGCAGUCGGGAAUCUUCCGCAGUGGGCGAAAGCCUGGCGGAGCAAGGCCGCGUGAGUGAUGAAGGUCUUCGGAUCGUAAAACUGUGUUAUGAGGGAAGAACAGAUGUGUAAGUAAACAUGCCCGUAUUGACGGUACCUGGUCAGAAAGCCCCGGCUAACUACGUG